GACGAACCUUGCAAACGUUAUUCGGAAUUACUGGGCUUAAAGGGUGCGUAGGCGGCGCGGAAAGUCGGGUGUGAAAGCCCCCAGCUCAACUGGGGGAUUGCGCCCGAAACUGCUGUGCUAGAGGAAGAUAGAGGUGAGCGGAACCCAGGGUGGAGCGGUGAAAUGCGUUGAUAUCCUGAGGAACACCGGUGGCGAAAGCGGCUCACUGGGUAUUUUCUGACGCUGAGGCACGAAAGCUAGGGUAGCGAACGGG
rnacentral:misc_RNA from 1 species